GCAAAGUGCCGUCGCUGAACUAUACACGGAGUUUACUGCUUCAAACAUAAACAACGAUGGCAAAGGGAGUGGAUGUCUUCUUUUAAGGACACAAAGCCAGAGGAUGUCCACACCAAGGGUAUGAAGAUGAGCAUCUUAACUAUUACUGGAAGAUGAUGUUGUCAUCCACUCAAACCUAAAGGUGCCUAGGAUGUAGUACUAGAGACGCAGAUUGUGUUGGAAUAUAUACAUGGCCUUACCACUGCUGUUGCUGUCCUCUUUGGCUUAACUUAGAUCAUCCAAAAAAAUGAAAAUUCUGUCAUCAUUUACUCACCGUCAUGUCGAUCCAAACCCAUAAGACAUUUGUUCAUCUUUAAUACACAAAUGAAGAUAUUUUUAAUGAAACCUGAGAUAUUUCUGUCCAUUCACUGAAAAACUAUUCACCUAAAAUUCUGAUGCUUCAAAAUGUUCAUAAAGAGAUUGUAAAACAAAUACAUAAGAAUCGAAUGGUUUAAACAAAGUCUUCUGAAGAGACGUGAUCACAUUACACAUCACGCAUUUCACACUAAAUGCUGCUCCAUCUCUCCAAGUGCUGUGAGUUUGAGCCCUAUAUAACAUGUAUUAAAAAAAACCCCAGAAAUUGUAUUAUAUUUUAGUUUUCUAUACAGUGAUAGCUUAAAAGCUAUGUCAAUUAGCACUGCAUUAUAAGUACACUCUAAAAAGAUGGUUCUUUAAAGGUCUAUUUAGAACGAGUUUAGGUAUUUUUUUUUUAUUCCUGGCUUUAAAAAAAAAAAAAAAAAAAAAAAUUGUAAUUGUCAAAACACCUCAUUACUCAUAUUCUGGACAUCAACUAUCCAGCUACACAGACUAUCAACACAGUUUCAACAGGUUCUUUUUUGUGUGACCAGCUCUGUUCGGUUAAGGAUACUCUCUUCUCCACUAAGUAAUGUAAAAUUAUUACUUGAGUCUAUGCUUAAGUGUUAAAGCUAUAUAAAACUAUCCUAAGAUCCCACUUUAAAUCACUUUUUCUUUUUUUAAUAUUUUGAAGGGCAUACUGCUUAUAUGUCAAUUUUUGCUUAUGGCCUUCAUAAGCAUAAUUGUUUUUACAUAAACACAUGGACACUCUUUAACUGUAAACUCAACUGUGUAUUUCAGAUGCAUCAUAUACACAACCUCAUCAUCUGCAGAGAAACUGCCACUCAAUCACACCACAUUGAUGGGCUUAAAGGCAUCACAGAGGAUCCUGAAGAUACAUUAUUCCUGGAAAUUUUGUCAUUUAUUUUCUAUUUCUAUUUUUACUUUCUGAUGUAUUUUUUCAUGUUCAUUGUCAACUGUCAUUUAUUAUUUGUAUUUAGCCAAUAACUGUUUUUAGAGCAUUUUCAUUUUUGCUUCAAGUUCAUGUCAAUUAAAAAAAAUUAAAGUACCUAACUGAAACUACAUGCUGUUUUGUUUAGUUUUUGUGUGAGUGUGUAAAACCCUAAUACAGGCUAAAAUACAUUAUAGGAAAAACAAAAAUGUUAAUAGAUAAUAUAUGUAAAUAAUAUUAAUAAGUAAAACUAGUAUCAAAGGUAUAAAUAUACUAAUAUUAAUUAAAAUAAACUAUUUUCUAAAUCCUAUUUCAUGCAUCCCUACAAUUGCGUCUCUUCAGGAGACUUAAACUGCUCAAUUCAUAUUAACUUAUAUAUUUAUUUAAUUAUUUAUGAUCUCUUUAUGAACGCUUUGAAGUUUUGGGUGAACAGCCUUUCAAUACAGAAGUCUCUCAAAUUUCAUUAAAAUAUUUUAAUUUGUGUUGAGUGUGAACAACGGUUUAGAACAACAUGGGAGUGAGUAAAUGAUAAAUUUUCAGAAUAAUUUUGGUUGAAUUAUUCCUUUAAGUGUUGUGUUAAUAGUUGAAAUAUUUUGCUUCUUGAUCCAGUGUGUUUGUUGCAUUAUGAAUGCGCCAAAAUAAUAGAUGGAGCAAGAUGAACGUUUAAAAUGACGGUAAAGUUUAGCUUCCUUUAAAUUAUAUAAAAGUUUUUUUUGUGACUUUUGAUUUAAAACUUUACUUAAGGCUGCAGAAUUUUAAUAUUUUUAAUGUUACAUUUUUCUGGCACUUAAAAAAAUAAUUUUUAAGUGUGUGUUUUUUGUUUAAGAGUGUUUUUAUUGUAAAUAGUCACAUCCUAGUUACAUCAUAGUUUGAGUGGAGAAAAGCUAAAUUGUGUUCAUUUUGCAGAAUGCCAAUAAAUACUUUCUG